CCUACGGGUGGCAGCAGUGGGGAAUAUUGGGCAAUGGGCGCAAGCCUGACCCAGCAACGCCGCGUGAAGGAUGAAGGUUUUCGGAUUGGAAACUUCUGUCGCGAGGGACGAAGAAUGACGGUACCUCGUAAGAAAGCCCCGGCUAACUACGUGCCAGCAGCCGCGGGAAUACGUAGGGGGCAAGCGUUGUCCGGAAUGACUGGGCGUAAAGGGAGUGUAGGCGGCAAUGUAAGUUAGUCGUUAAAUCCUACGGCUUAACCGUAGAACUGCAUCUAAAACUGAGACGCUGGAGUGCAGGAGAGGUGAGUGGAAUUCCUGGUGUAGCGGUGGAAUGCGUAGAUAUUAGGAUGAACACCAGAGGCGAAGGCGACACACUGGACUGUAACUGACGCUGAGGCUCGAAAGCGUGGGGAGCAAACAGGAUUAGAUACCCCUGUAGUC
rnacentral:rRNA from 1 species